rnacentral:lncRNA from 1 species
GGGGAGCCUCUCGGGGGUGUAUUUAGAACCGAGGGUCCCUCGAGGGACUUGGGUUCAGCACGCGCGUCUGUGCAGGAGCAUUUAGCUGAUGGUACCUGAGAUGCCGACCCUCCCGUUCUGCCCGCUCUGGGAGGGAAACCCCGGGGCCUCAGCCUUUCGGGAAAGGGCACUCGGAGAGUUAUUCCGGCGUUUGCCACGGGACAAAGAUAACCCAGAAAGUAUCUCGGUUGCAGGAGGCCGGCCUCAGCCCGGCGCAGGGCGUCAGCGAGAUGCCGGGGUGUGCGCCGGUCGGGAGACAGGCCUGGCCAGCCCUGCAUCCAGGAUCGGGUCGCGGGGCCUGGGUGAGCCGGGGCAAGGUCGCCAGGCUCCUCACAACAGCACCGAGCUUCCCCAGACAGGGUGGCCGCCAGGGUGCGGCAGGCCUGGAGCCGGCGGGAAACGGAGGAAGCGGAGGCCUUGGAAAGUAGUCGGUGAGCUUGAUUUCUGGAUUAGGAGUCCAGGUUGCCUGGGAGAACCGGGCCAGCGGGUGGGGACUGGGGGCGUCUUUUUACGACCCAGGCUGGAAAGGGAAACGUUGCAGUGACGGUCAAAGGAAGCCCGUGACCCCCCUGAGGCCUCCACUGAUGGGCUGUGCCCUCCAGGGCUCCGGGCUCUGAAGGCUGCUCACAAGACGAAUGUUGGUGUGUUCAGGGGGCGCCGUUCCCCCGUGAGCUGUGGCCCGGGUUUGGAAGGGCAGGGCGCAGGCCUGGGUGUGCUGCCCGGCAAGCCAGAGCGCGGUGGCUCGGUGCCGCUGGGACCUGGGCGGUGGCUGUCCUCCCCCUGCCAGCCGAGCGCUCACGAUCGCUGGGGUUGGGCCUUGGGAGUGGGGUGAGGACAAGGGGCUGAAGCCAUCUUUGCCCCGGAUUGCUGCUCCCGGAGCCCCCUCGGCCACCCGUGGCUCGGGCCCCUCCGUCGCCCAAACCUCGCUACCAGGAGAGAGCGAGCUGUUUGUAAACAAUAAAUAAUGGAAAGUAGGAGGAUGUUCAGAAAAGCCACAGCAGAAGCCGGGAAAACUGGAAGGAGUUGGGAGGAGGGGGGGUGGGGGAGGGGAGGAGCAGAGGAGGAAGAGGGAGAGCGACUGAGAGAUUCAUUUCUGCCCCAGAAGCCCCGGUGGCUAGUUUCUUAUUAUUUACAGGAAGGUGAUAUUAGCAAUUCAGGUGAGAAAGAAAUAAACACGGCCGCCACGAGAUCAAUACAGAAUUCAGAAACAAUUAUUAAUGUCAUUUGACUCGUGUUCUUUAUAUAUCUCUCCCGGCUACAGACGCUUAAACUGUCUGAAUAAUUUGCAUGGGGCGGCUAUUCAUUAUUUCCGAUGAUUUUCCUUCGCAAGCAGCUCGGACGUGGCCGGCUGUGGUUCAGCGCGAUCGGAGAGCUCGUAUUUUCAUCUGUAAAUUAAAGCAAUUACGCAGCAGAUAUUAUAUGAUGCGUACUGUGGUCUCCAGACAGUCAUCAAUCACCUUCAACCGAGCUGUCAGAGCGGGCAGAUUUCGUUUCUGGGAGGCAGGUUUGCAGCUGGGGAGAGGGCGAGAACGUCAUCAUUAAUUAGAGGGUGACCCUGGGGCGAUUCACAGGUCUGAACCCAGGAAUCUUUCCGAGCAAGUCUGCACAGCGCCGCCGCGCACAGCUCCCCUCCCGGCCGGCCGACCGCGGGAGGCCGAGCGGGGCAGAGCGGCAGGGGCGAGCCGGGGGGUCCCCGGAGGGCGGCUGCCUAAAAGGCGGGGAGCGAGUUCGGGGUGCCGGGGCGCCCGUUUGCAGCCCGCGUGCUGGCCUCCGCUUUGCAUUCGAGCUGGGUCCCAGGACCGGGACCCGAUGGAAAGUCCUGGAGAGGGCGCACGGCUGUCCCCCAGCCCCCAGACUGCCCCGAACGCCCCGGGCCCAGAGCUACGCAAAACGGGCAGGGGAAGGCGUCCCGGCGCUCCCUCCCCUGCACCUAACCCGGAGGGGCGCCGGGCGGAACAAGCACAGCGGGAGGGGCCCCGGAGCAGGGCGGCGGAAACCUACUCUCCGGAGCGCGCAGGGCUGUCUGGCAGUCCCGGGUUCAGCCGCGAGGGGCAGGGGGAGGCUGGGAGGGCGGNCGGGGGGGGGGGGCGGGGGGGGGGGGGGCGGGGGGGGGGGGGGGCGGGGGGGGGGGGGGGGGGGGGGGGGGGGGGGCGGGGGGGGGGGGGGGGGGGGGGGGGGGGGGGCGUUCUCGGGGGACAGGCUGGCGGGCAGACGCAGAGCCCCGCGGCAAUUGGACCACCGAGGCCCGGAGUGGAUGGCUCUGGGGGGAGGCCUCGGUGGAUGGCUCUGGGGAAGACGCGGGACCCACACACCUGAGAGCAGGUUGCCCUUCGGACGCGCACCCUGGCAGCCGCAUCCGGUUCUGGAACUCCCCGCCCCGGAGCAGGGUUCGAACCCGCGGGAGGCCGAGCGGAGAGCCAGUUAAACAAUAGUCGGGGUCGCGCGCGGGCCUGCGGAGCGGCCCUCCUGCACCUGCCGCCGAGCGGGGCGCGGAGGCCCGGCCGCCUGCGCCAGCGCCCGGCUAAUUUUAACUGUUGAUUACAUCUUCGGUGGAGACUCGCUCGUGUGUCCCUUCACAUGUCUCAUUUGUAAUUGAGACUAAUGAUUACAGUGGGGCGGGCAGGCGCAGGUGCUCAUUAAUUAAUUUCUAAUUAAAAGUGCUUCCCAUCCUCGGUGACUAAGGAGAAACGGCAUUCGUGGGGGCGAUAUUGACUCCACGGACGGGAUUCAUUUGUCAGAGCCUGUUGUGGCCUCUUCGCCCCGCGCGGCGCCCCCGCCCCGCAGCCCCGCAGCCCCGCAGCCCGGCCGCCGCCAGUGACCCGCACGUCUGCGGCCCGGCCGAGCUGCGCGGCGUGGGCUGACGUCAGCGCCCCCGCCGCUGAAAGCCAAGCACAUUUGACUUGACGGGUUCGCGCAACUCGGUGUUUUUUUUCCCCCCCUUUUUGCAAAAUAUGUAUUUGUGUCGCCGCUGCGAGGCGGGCUGGUCCCAGAGCCCCCUCGAGGCUCGGGAACGUGAGGCUAAAAGGCUCGGUGCGGCCGCCGCGGCUCACUUUCCCACCGGGUUAGAAAAGUUUGCGGGGCGCGUGGAUGAAUUAACCCGCUCUUCCGCUUCGCCCUCCCAGCGCCUAGGAGCCGGCGGCCCCGGA